rnacentral:tRNA from 1 species
GCCCGUAUAGCUCAGUGGUCAAAGCACCUGCCAUGAAAUCAGGAGGUCGUGGGUUCGUAUCCCACUAGGGUA